rnacentral:rRNA from 1 species
GAACCUGCGGAAGGUCAUUACUGAAAAACUUUCCAAGUUUUUUAUAUCCAAUUGUUUAUCUACCAUGUUGCUUCCACUGGACAUGUUUUACUUUAAGUAAGACCUUUUGCUUGUGUGAAUAACUCAGGUGAGAGAGUUGCUAGUGGCAAGACUAUCUACUAAAACUUGAUUAAAAAUACUUUUGUCUGAAUCUUUUGCUUUAAUGAAAUAAAACUUUCAACAACGGAUCUCUAGGCUCUUGCAUCGAUGAAGAACGCAGUGAAAUGCGAUAAGUAAUGUGAAUUGCAGAAUCUCGUGAAUCAUCGAAUCUUUGAACGCACAUUGCGCCCUAUGGUAUUCCAUAGGGCAUGCCUGUCUGAGCGUCAGCUCCCACACACUCAAGUAUCUUUAAGAUUUCUUGGACUGAUUUGUAGAGGUGUCUUGCUUGUUAUAGAAGAGACACCCUCCAAAAAUUAAUAGGCAGUAUGGUUUAUACAUGGACCAGACGUAAUAAUAAUAAAAUCGUUUGUUCAGGUAUGAGUCUACUCGCCUUAACCCACCCAUUUCUUUGCUUGGGUGACCUCAGAUCAGGUAGGGAUACCCGCUGAACUUAAGCAU